UCUGUUUUUCUUUGUCCACACCCAGAAUCAUUAGCAUAUGGAAUAAAUAGCAGUUAGACUGUCAGUGCUAUAGACUAUCACAGAAAGGUUGUGCUGGUUGGUGUCCUGUUUUCUUAAUUUAAGCCAGUUUAUGGACUUUUAGUAUUCCUAAGGAAUUCGGGUGUGAUGAGUCUGGUAGGGAAGGGAUCCAAAGGAAUACUGAUGAGGACCGUCUUGAAGAGGUGACGUUUGUCUAGGGGCCAAGACGGACAGAGGGAAUAAGCCAUAGCGACGUCUGCAGGGAUCUUCUGGAAGAAGGUGGCAAGGAGCAAGCAGAGGGGGGUUGCUGCGGAACUGGAUCUUGCUGGAAUGCAGACUGCUCCAUAGUGUAAUAAGAUGACAGUCAUCUUGGCAUGCAAAGCCCCAACACAAACCUUAGGGAUGGAAGAGCUCCUGAAAUGAAGAGACCCAAGGUGAGUGAAGCCCACUCAGAGCUGCAGUUGAAUGUGACCAUAUCUAUACCGAGUUCCAGCGGAGUGAAUCCAGAACAAACAAGCCCAGCCCUCCUACAUGUGGCAUUGAUCCCUUGGAUACACUCAUAAAACAAGAGUGAGCAGAUUUUGUGAACAUUGCUGCAGGGGACUUGUGAAGAAACAGGAUCAGCACCUGAGCUUUCCUGUGACCUUUGAAUGGUAGUGACAGUUUGUUUUUCUUCUGCAGGUGAUGGCCUGAGGCCAGCUGGAAUCUCUGACAAUGGAUGUUCUCCAGCUGGGAGCCUGGUUCAUCCUGAGCAGGGUCAAUGAGUGUUUUUGGGCAAUCAUUUUCUCCAGGUCACUGUGGUCACUGGGGUGUGGGUGGCAGAGUGUUUCAUCCUGAACUGGGUCUGGAACCAUAGUGAGGGGAAGAACACCCUAUGUCAGUGCCAGUGGGCAGGAAACAGAGGGCAAAACCAGGUGGGUGGAACAAGGAGGCAGGGUCACCGGGUGCACAAGAGGAGAAGCAAGUGCCACUUGUUAAAGGUCAGUGAUGUGCCACGCACUGUGCCAGGGGCUCCUUUGACAGAUGAGGAAACUGAGUCUCAGAGGCUCCACAGCUCACCACAGGGCACACAGCCAGGACAUGGUGGCACCAGGAUACACAAUCAUACAGCAAACUCAAGUUGCUUUUACUGUGUGACGCUAAGUAUUGGACCAGAAUAUGACCAUACUAUGGCUUGGAUAUUGUGCUGGAAAAAUAGUAUUUUUGUUUUGUUCUGAAAAAUAGUUUUUUUGAGCAUGAGGUCGAUUGUGCCUUUAGCUUUUCUGAAACCGUGGAAAUAAUUUACCUUCCCUGGAUGUGUACUCAAUACACGUAUAUGGAGACAACAGUCCCUUUGCUUGGCAGAGUAACUAAUAAGCAAUGGGAAAGUUCUUUGCUCUUCUAGAGUGCUAUUAUAAUAAUCAUAUCUGAAUAAUAGUAUGGUACCUAUUUUUUAAAAUGACCAUUAGUAAUACCAUGUUGACGUAUUGUUAGAAGGCUAGUCUUCUAUCUCAGGUGUUUUUAUACAAAAUGUAAAUAUCUUAUGUGAAUACGGGAUUUGGGAUACAGUUAUGCUACUGUUGAUCAUCAGUUUAUAUAGUUUUACUUUUUCCUCAUAAAUUAAAAUUGCUCAUUAAGAGUUUUGUAUGAGCCGAAAUUGUGGAGUAAAAUCAUAUACAGCAGUGGGAGCUCCCAUGGAUCACCGGUGGGAAAAACAUGUGCUGAAACCCUUGUGGAGAGCAAUCCAGCAGGGGAAGAACAUAAAAGGUGAGACUGCGCAUGCGCGCGAUUCCCUCUGACCAGGAGGAGCUGACCUGGGAACGCGCGAGGGGCAGGCACGGGAAUGUCGAGGGCGGAUGAUUUGAGACAGUAAAAGAAAGAAGCCGUUUGAAGACCCAGCGACAGGGUAAUGGUUAAGUAAGUUGAGAUUAAAGGCGUUCAGUGGGAUAUUAUGCCAAAGUUAAAAUAAAUGAAUUGGAGCUCUAAGUGCCAGCAAGGUAAUACCAUCAAGGGAUAAUGCUGAAUUAAAAGCAAAUUACAGAGCCUAGCUCAGGCAACUUAGAGACUUAGGAAGACCUUACCUCAAAACGAACGAACAAACAAACUACCGAAAAACCCAACCCUCACAAAAAAAGCAAAUUGCAGAAAGUUGGAUGCAGAAUGCAACCUGCAAAUAAUAGCAUAUAUUAGCCGCGAACAUGUUCACCUUAGAGUAGCAUCAAUCGGCCUUGGCGCAGUGAAUACCUCAACUUGGAGUUCGGGUGGAUGCUGCCUCUGCGAGUGACGGAAUGAGAAUGGGUCCUCUGAAGAGCAACUCAAUUCAGCCACGCCGGGGGUCAUUUAUUUCUCACACGAGGGCUGGAGCGUGAAUGGUCAACGAUGAGACUUGACAAAGAUGAGAUUUGACAAAGU